rnacentral:lncRNA from 10 species
CCCGGAGGCGGAGCUUGCAGUGAGUCGAGAUUGCGCCACUGCUCUCUGGCCUGGGCGACAGAGCGAGACUCCGUCUCAAAAUAAAUAAAUAAAUAAAUAAAUAAAUAAAUAAAUAAAUAAAGCAUCUGACAAAAUUCAGCAUACUUUCAUGAGAAAAACUCAACAAAUUGGGUAUAAAAGCAAUGUACCUCAAUACAUAAAGGCCAUAUACGACAAGACUUCAGCUAACAUCAUACUCAACGGUGGACAGCUGAAUGCUUUUCCUCUAAGAUCAGGAAAAAGACAAGGACCACUCUAGCCACUUUUUUUUUUUUUGAGAUGAAGUCUCGCUCUGUCGCCCAGGCUGGAGUGCAGUGAUGCAAUCUCAGCUCACUGCAACCUCUGCCUCCCGGGGUUCAAGCGAUUCUCCUUCGUCAGCCUCCUGGGUAGGUGGGACUAUAGGUGCAUGCCACCAUGUCCGGCUAAUUUUUAUAUUUUUAGUAGAGACGGGGUUUCACCAUACUGGCCAGGAUGGUCUCGAUCUCCUGACCUCAUGAUCUAUCCGCCUCAGCCCACUCCAGCCACUUUUAUUCAACAUAGUACUGUAAGUCCCAGACAGAGCAAUUAGGCAAGAAAAAUAAAUAAAAAGACAUCUAAAUCGGAAAGGAAGUAAAAUUUUCUCUGUCUGCAGAUGACAUGAUCUUACAUAUAGAAAACGCUAAAGACUCCAAAAAACUAUUAGAACUAAUGAACAAAUUCAGUUAAGUAGUAGCAUAAGGAAAUCAAUGUAUAAAAAUCAGCAGUGUUUCUAUGUACUAAGAACAAACUAUCCAAAAAAGAAAUAAAUAAAACAAUCUCACAAUAACUACCAAAAAAAAAAGGCUUCAAUAUCCAAUGGCGUGAAACACGGCUCAUUGAAGCCUCAACCUCCCGGGCUCAAGUGAUCCUCCCACCUCAGCCUUCUGAGUAGGUGGGACUACAGGUGUGAGCCACCAUGCCCAGCUAUUUUUUUUUUUUUCCUUUAUGUAGAGAUGGGGUCUCACUAUGUUUCCCAGGCUGGUCUUAAACUCCUGGACUCAAAUGAUUCUCCCACCUCAGUCUCCCAAAGUGCUGGGUUUAUAGGUAUGAGCCACUGUGCCCAGCCUUAAUUUGAAAUUUAAAACAAUCCUAAUCUAGAUGGAACAAGUAUUAUUCUCUUUCUACAGAUAAGGAAACCCAGGCUCAGAAAGAUUAAGUAACUUGUUCUGUGAUAUAAAGCUGGGUCAGUGGAUCUGGUAUUGAAUCUCUGUCUUAGUUCCUAGACAUGUGAUCAUUCCAUUAAAUAUUUUCCAAUCUGCAGGCUGUGACCAGCCUUUUAAAAGUGUUGAAUUUAAAAUGCCACAAAAUAAUAGUAAGCAUACUUAUUUUUUCAUGACUGUUAUCUAUAUUCUAUGUGUGUGUUUACUGAGAUGCAAUCUUUAUCGUGGGCAUAGAUAAAAUGUCUGAAAAACAUUGAACGGUUCCAUAGCUGCCUCUCUAGUCAAUGUUUAACAAGCACAUAUUAUAUCCCUCUGAUUACACUAUUAUAUACGACAAAAACACACAAUUCUAAGCCGUGGUUUUGAUGAUGAUGAUGAUGAGGAUGAGGAUGAUAUUAUUUUUGAGACAGAGUUUCGCUCUUGUUGCCCAGGCUGGA